AGCGAACGCUGGCGGCAGGCCUAACACAUGCAAGUCGAACGAAGCCUUCGGGCUUAGUGGCGGACGGGUGAGUAACACGUGGGAACGUACCUUUUGGUUCGGAACAACUCAGGGAAACUUGAGCUAAUACCGGAUGAGCCCUUAGGGGGAAAGAUUUAUCGCCGAAAGAGCGGCCCGCGCUAGAUUAGCUAGUUGGUGAGGUAAAGGCUCACCAAGGCAACGAUCUAUAGCUGGUCUGAGAGGAUGAUCAGCCACACUGGGACUGAGACACGGCCCAGACUCCUACGGGAGGCAGCAGUGGGGAAUCUUGCGCAAUGGGCGAAAGCCUGACGCAGCCAUGCCGCGUGAAUGAUGAAGGUCUUAGGAUUGUAAAAUUCUUUUACCAGGGACGAUAAUGACGGUACCUGGAGAAAAAGCCCCGGCUAACUUCGUGCCAGCCGCCGCAGUAA
rnacentral:rRNA from 1 species